rnacentral:pre_miRNA from 1 species
AAAGUACUUCCUCCGUCCCAAAAUUCUUGUCUUGGAUUUGUCUAGAUACGGAUGUAUCAAGUCACAUUUUAGUAUUAGAUACAUCUGUAUCUAGACAAAUCUAAGACAAGAAAUUUGGGACAGAGGGGGUAGUUG